rnacentral:rRNA from 1 species
UACGUAGGGCGCAAGCGUUGUCCGGAAUUAUUGGGCGUAAAGAGCUCGUAGGCGGCUUGUCACGUCGGGUGUGAAAGCCCGGGGCUUGACCCCGGGUCUGCAUUCGAUACGGGCAGGCUAGAGUGUGGUAGGGGAGAUCGGAAUUCCUGGUGUAGCGGUGAAAUGCGCAGAUAUCAGGAGGAACACCGGUGGCGAAGGCGGAUCUCUGGGCCAUUACUGACGCUGAGGAGCGAAAGCGUGGGGAGCGAACAGG